rnacentral:rRNA from 1 species
GACGAACCGUGCGAACGUUGUUCGGAUUCACUGGGCUUAAAGGGCGCGUAGGCGGACGGUCAAGUCAGGGGUGAAAUCUUUCAGCUCAACUGGAAAAGUGACCUUUGAUACUGAUCGUCUCGAGGGAGGUGAGGGGCAUGUGGAACUUCCGGUGGAGCGGUGAAAUGCGUAGAUAUCGGAAGGAACGCCGGUGGCGAAAGCGACGUGCUGGACCUCUUCUGACGCUGAGGCGCGAAAGCUAGGGGAGCAAACGGG